rnacentral:rRNA from 1 species
UGGGGAAUUUUGCACAAUGGGGGAAACCCUGAUGCAGCGACGCCGCGUGAUUUAGAAGGCCUUCGGGUUGUAAAAAUCUUUUCUAUGGGAAGAAAAUGACAGUACCAUAGGAAUAAGGACCGGCUAAUUACGUGCCAGCAGCCGCGGUAAUACGUAAGGUCCGGGCGUUGUCCGGAAUCAUUGGGCGUAAAGGGUACGUAGGCGGGUAAGCAAGUUAGAAGUGAAAUCCUAUAGCUCAACUAUAGUAAGCUUUUAAAACUGCUCAUCUUGAGGUAUGGAAGGGAAAGUGGAAUGCCUAGUGUAGCGGUGAGAUGCGCAGAUAUUAGGAGGAAUACCGGUGGCGAAGGCGACUUUCUGGCCAUAACCUGACGCUGAGGUACGAAAGCGUGGGUAGCAAACAGG